CUUCUAUUGCCAACCCAACUCAAGGCUUGCAGCGCAAGAACCGCACCUGUCAACAUGAACCGAGUCUUGGGAAUGGACCUUCUUGCAGCAGUUGCGGUGGCCAUAGCUGUGAUCAUCAUGGCACCCAACGAAGCUGCUGCUCUUGGUGGCAUGGUUGGAGGAAAUAGUGGAAUCGGACUGAAAAAGAAGUGAGCCAGCAGUCACCGUGGAUGAAAUCAGGAUUCCUGUGUUUCGAUGACAUGACCCACUUGUGCAAGACAGGGCGCCAAUAAAAAAGAAGCACGAGUUGAGAAA